CAGCUUCCCCAGAUUGGUUUCACUCAGAGAUAAGAAGGGAGGCACCAAUUGUUAUUCCUUUUAAACUGCAACCACACAUACUGCAUUAGAUUACAAAGCGUUUCACACAGAGGAGAGAUGGGGACCAUUUGGUUCACAGUUUGGUGUGCUUUAUUCUUGAAUGUUCAGGCUUCUCCAGCAGGGCACACAGAAAACCAAAUAUGUGAACCAGGAUUUGACCAAGAAUCAGUUAUUUUUAAGGUGACUAAAAAGCUUCUGAGGCCAGGCACAAUCCUGGGAAAAGUGAACUUCACCGACUGCCCAGGUGCCAGGUUGGUGAUGUUCGUCACUUACGAUCACGGUUUCUUCGUUGAGAACGAUGGGACAGUAAUGGUAAGCAGAGUUUCAACAAUUAGAA